rnacentral:rRNA from 1 species
AUGGUGCUCAUGAGCGCUGCGGCGACGGCCGCCGUGAUUUACGCGUACGGCAAGUCGGUCGCCUCGGUCGGGCUUGCUGCAGGGACCAGCGCCAGGGCGUUCUGGGUGAUCGGCGGUUUCACCAAGGUGCUGUGUCCGAUCUGCCACGAGCAUGUCAGGCAGAUGAAGUACGAGAGGCACACCAGAGAGCAUACGUUCGAGUGCCCCUCGUGCUACGACCAGGUCCCGUUCUCCGAGCUCGAGAACCAUGCACAGAGCCAUGGGUAUCGAUGCUCGGUGUGCUACCAGACCGUCCCGCUCGCCAACUUCGGCACUCACCUGGAUCUCCACAGGGAGGAGCUGGCCGGGAUCAGGCGGAUCAGAGACGAGGGCUACCAAACAAGGCUGGAGGACCUGGAGCGCGAAUGCCAGCAAAAGAUGGCGGACCUUGAGCGGGCGGAGGCUGCGUAUAUCGAGAAGAGAGAGCAAGCGAGACUGUUAUGGGAACACCUAAAGUCCAAUUGCCCUGCCUGCAAUGAAACCGUGCCCAUGCCCCAAAUGGAAUCACAUGUCCGAGAGCACAAACUUGAUUUAAAGCAAAGUUCAACCAGACGCAAUGAGAUUGCUAACAUGGGGAUCAGGGUCAAGGGCCUAAGAAUCGGAGCUCUCGUGAAGCGUUGGGCCAGUCAUCAGUAG